UACGUAGGGGGCAAGCGUUGUCCGGAUUUAUUGGGCGUAAAGAGCGUGUAGGCGGCCAGGUAGGUCUGCUGUGAAAACUGGAGGCUCAACCUCCAGCUGUCGACGGAAACCGUAUGGCUAGAGUCCGGAAGAGGAGAGUGGAAUUCCUGGUGUAGCGGUGAAAUGCGCAGAUAUCAGGAAGAACACCAAUGGCGAAGGCAGCUCUCUGGGACGGUACUGACGCUGAGACGCGAAAGCGUGGGGAGCGAACAGG
rnacentral:rRNA from 1 species